CCACGCGAGAUGGCUUGCUGGGCCUGGUUUGCUUGGCCUCUCUCUUUCUCUCCAUUUCUUCUACUAUCUCCUAUUUUCUACACACAACCACAUACACACAUAUAUUUAUUAGUUAUAAAUAUUCUCAGAAAUAUUUCUAAGUAUUUGAUUAACAAAUCAAAAUAUCCAUAAAAUCCAACUCACAUUUAUAUUAAUUAAUUAAAUGCAUAUGAUCUUUAUUGCUAAGAAAAUGAAAGGAAAGAAGACACUCUUGGGUGGAGAUUAAUUAAUCCAAAGAGACUGUCAAAUAUAGUGCACACUCAUAAUUACAAAGUGGUUGGUGAGUAGUUUGCGUGCCUUUUUUGUUUGUCCGCGCGCAUGCUUUCAAACACUUUCUCUCCAUGUACCAAUUUAUUUUGUUGCCUACAUGUUUCUAUGCAUAAAAAAUAAAGACUUUCCAUGUUUUAUAUAAAACCAUCAGAUCAAAUAGCUUAUAUUUCUAAGUUAUGUUAUCACCUAAAUUUCUGUCCUUGUGAAGAUAAAGACAAGCAAACUUUUUUGCGUGUUCAAGAAAAAAAUGCAUAAAUUAAAAUAAGCAAAGCAAAAAAAAAAGAAGAAGUGAGUCACGAUUUUUUGAAAGGGG
rnacentral:lncRNA from 1 species